AUUGAACGCUGGCGGCAUGCCUUACACAUGCAAGUCGAACGGCAUCGCGGGAAAGCUUGCUUUCCUGGCGGCGAGUGGCGAACGGGUGAGUAACACAUCGGAACGUACCGGCUAGUGGGGGAUAACCCGUCGAAAGACGGGCUAAUACCGCAUACGCUCUUCGGAGGAAAGCAGGGGAACUUUGGGCCUUGCGCUAGUCGAGCGGCCGAUGUCCGAUUAGCUAGUUGGUGGGGUAAAGGCCUACCAAGGCGACGAUCGGUAGCGGGUCUGAGAGGACGAUCCGCCACACUGGGACUGAGACACGGCCCAGACUCCUACGGGAGGCAGCAGUGGGGAAUCUUGGACAAUGGGGGCAACCCUGAUCCAGCAAUGCCGCGUGGGUGAAGAAGGCCUUCGGGUUGUAAAGCCCUUUCGGCAGGGAAGAAAUCGGCGGGGCGAAUAACCCUGCUGGAUGACGGUACCUGCAGAAGAAGCACCGGCUAACUACGUG
rnacentral:rRNA from 1 species